GAUGAACGCUAGCGGGAGGCUUAACACAUGCAAGUCGAGGGGCAGCAUAGGGUAGCAAUACUCUGAUGGCGACCGGCAAACGGGUGAGUAACGCGUAUGCAACCUACCCUGUACAGGGGGAUAACCCGGAGAAAUUCGGACUAAUAUCCCGUAAUAAUAUCCGGAGGCAUCUUUGGAUAUUUAAAGUUCCGACGGUACGGGAUGGGCAUGCGUAACAUUAGCUGGUUGGUAAGGUAACGGCUUACCAAGGCUAUGAUGUUUAGGGGUCCUGAGAGGGUGGUCCCCCACACUGGUACUGAGACACGGACCAGACUCCUACGGGAGGCAGCAGUGAGGAAUAUUGGUCAAUGGGCGCAAGCCUGAACCAGCCAUCCCGCGUGCAGGAAGACGGCCCUAUGGGUUGUAAACUGCUUUUCCAGGGAGAGAAACUUACGCACGUGUUGCGUGACUGACGGUACCCUGGGAAUAAGCAUCGGCUAACUCCGUGCCAGCAGCCGCGGUAAAACGUG
rnacentral:rRNA from 1 species